rnacentral:rRNA from 1 species
GACGUAGGGGGCGAGCGUUGUCCGGAUUUAUUGGGCGUAAAGCGUGCGUAGGCGGCUGCGCAAGUCGGUUGUGAAACCCCGGGGCUCAACCCCGGAACUGCAUCCGAUACUGCGUGGCUAGAGGUAGGUAGGGGAGAUCGGAAUUCCUGGUGUAGCGGUGAAAUGCGCAGAUAUCAGGAGGAACACCGGUGGCGAAGGCGGAUCUCUGGGCCUUACCUGACGCUCAGGCACGAAAGCUAGGGGGGCGAACAGG